CCUACGGGGGGCAGCAGUGGGGAAUAUUGGGCAAUGGAGGCAACUCUGACCCAGCAAAGCCGCGUGAAGGAAGAAGGUCUUCGGAUUGGAAAGUUCUUUAAUUGGGGACGAAAAAAAUGACGGUACCCAAGGAAUAAGCCCCGGCUAACUACGUGCCAGCAGCCGCGGUAAUACGUAGGGGGCAAGCGUUGUUCGGAAUGACUGGGCGUAAAGGGUGUGUAGGCGGUGUAGCAAGUUAGAAGGGAAAUACCUAGGGCUUAACUCAUGUGCUGCUUCUAAAACUGCUAUACUUGAGUGCAGUAGAGGAAAGUGGAAUUCCUAGUGUAGCGGUGGAAUGCGUAGAUAUUAGGAGGAACAUCAGUGGCGAAGGCGACUUUCUGGACUGUAACUGACGCUGAGGCACGAAAGUGUGGGGAGCAAACAGGAUUAGAUACCCCAGUAGUC
rnacentral:rRNA from 1 species